ACACUGCUGAGGAGUCCCAUACUAGGGCGGAACGGCCGUCCAGUGU
rfam:Schistosoma curassoni strain Dakar, Senegal genome assembly, scaffold: SCTD_scaffold0000216